GAUGAACGCUGGCGGCGUGCCUAAUACAUGCAAGUCGAGCGAACAGACGAGGAGCUUGCUCCUCUGACGUUAGCGGCGGACGGGUGAGUAACACGUGGAUAACCUACCUAUAAGACUGGGAUAACUUCGGGAAACCGGAGCUAGUACCGGAUAAUAUAUUGAACCGCAUGGUUCAAUAGUGAAAUACGGUUUUGCUGUCACUUAUAGAUGGAUCCGCGCCGCAUUAGCUAGUUGGUAAGGUAACGGCUUACCAAGGCAACGAUGCGUAGCCGACCUGAGAGGGUGAUUGGCCACACUGGAACUGAGACACGGUCCCGACUCCUACGGGAGGCAGCAGUAGGGAAGCUUCCGCAAUGGGCGAAAGCCUGACGGAGCAACGCCGCGUGAGUGAAGAAGGUCUUCGGAUCGUAAAACUCUGUUAUUAGGGAAGAACAAAUGUGUAAGUAACUAUGCACGUCUUGACGGUACCUAAUCAGAAAGCCACGGCUAACUACGUG
rnacentral:rRNA from 1 species